CUUGUCCUCAGUUGUAAGUCGCUUUGGAUAAAAGCGUCUGCUAAAUGACUAAAU
rfam:Danio rerio chromosome 22, GRCz11 reference primary assembly.